UUUCAGUUGUUUAGUUCAUGUAUCAAGUUUCGAUGACUAAGUUCCUUAACUCUGUUCUGCUUGGUGAUGCUCGUUAUUAGUUUCUUGGCACACUUUCUGUAUGGAAAUUCAGGCUCCAUCAUGCUUUUUUUUAAAAAAAAAUCUAUAUCUCUUUCGAGCCUUGUUAUAAGUGGUUUUAAGUUGGUAAAUUGAUUCUAAGAAUGAUUAAUUGGAAUAU
rnacentral:lncRNA from 1 species